UUUGCGACGCUGUCUUCGUGAUCAA
rnacentral:miRNA from 1 species